rnacentral:rRNA from 1 species
CACAGCCGCGGGAAUACAGAGGGUGCGAGCGUUAAUCGGAUUUACUGGGCGUAAAGCGUGCGUAGGCGGCUUCUUAAGUCGGAUGUGAAAUCCCUGAGCUUAACUUAGGAAUUGCAUUCGAUACUGGGAAGCUAGAGUAUGGGAGAGGAUGGUAGAAUUCCAGGUGUAGCGGUGAAAUGCGUAGAGAUCUGGAGGAAUACCGAUGGCGAAGGCAGCCAUCUGGCCUAAUACUGACGCUGAGGUACGAAAGCAUGGGGAGCAAACAGGAUUAGAUACCCCAGUAGUCCCUGUCUCUUAUACA